AGAAGAAGAAGAGUGUAAACAAACCACCAGCCGGCUUUCUGUCGCUGUUUCUGCGUCAAAGUGAUAAACUAAGAGGAUGCUGAGCUCCAGCAGACGGGAUGUUAGCGGGAUCUUCUCUCUGGCGCUUCUCUCUGUGGUGGUUUUAUCAUGGACGUUCGUCAUCUACGCCAGCAGGGUGGCAUCUGAUUGGCUGCUGGAGGAGAGGACCGCCCUCCUGCAGCAACACUGACGUCUGAUUGGCUGCUGGAGGAAACGACUGCCCUCCUGCAGCAGCACUGACAGCUGAUUGGCUGCUGGAGGAGAGGACCGCCCUCCUGCAGCAGCACUGACAGCUGAUUGGCUGCUGGAGGAGAGGACCGCCCUCCUGCAGCAACACUGACGUCUGAUUGGCUGCUGGAGUACCUGCUGACGGAUGUUGAUCCUCCAGAACCUCAGAACCUCGUUAUUAAAAACCCACAGAUCGCUCUGACGGAAACUCAAACUCUUCUGAAGCUGCGAUUUAAGGAUUCAAAGAUUCACGAGGAUCUCUCAAACUCUUUCUGUUUGUGCAUCUGGGUUUUUACAGACACUUAAAGGGGACCUAUCAUGCAAAAUGCACUUUGUGAUGUCUUUUAUACAUCAAUAUGUGUCCCCGGUGCG